rnacentral:rRNA from 1 species
UACGUAGGGUGCAAGCGUUAAUCGGAAUUACUGGGCGUAAAGCGUGCGCAGGCGGCGGAGCAAGAUCGAUGUGAAAUCCCCGGGCUUAACCUGGGAACUGCAUUGAUGACUGCUUUGCUCGAGUACGGCAGAGGGGGAUGGAAUUCCGCGUGUAGCAGUGAAAUGCGUAGAUAUGCGGAGGAACACCGAUGGCGAAGGCAAUCCCCUGGGCCUGUACUGACGCUCAUGCACGAAAGCGUGGGGAGCAAACAGG